rnacentral:rRNA from 1 species
GACGAACGCUGGCGGCGUGCUUAACACAUGCAAGUCGAACGGAAAGGCCCUGCUUUUGUGGGGUGCUCGAGUGGCGAACGGGUGAGUAACACGUGAGUAACCUGCCCUUGACUUUGGGAUAACUUCAGGAAACUGGGGCUAAUACCGGAUAGGAGCUCCUGCUGCACGGUGGGGGUUGGAAAGUUUCGGCGGUUGGGGAUGGACUCGCGGCUUAUCAGCUUGUUGGUGGGGUAGUGGCUUACCAAGGCUUUGACGGGUAGCCGUCCUGAGAGGGUGACCGGCGACAUUGGGACUGAGAUAGGGCGCAGACUCGUACGGGAGGCAGCAGUGGGGAAUAUUGCACAAUGGGCGGAAGCCUGAUGCAGCAACGCCGCGUGCGGGAUGACGGCCUUCGGGUUGUAAACCGCUUUCGCCUGUGACGAAGCGUGAGUGACGGUAAUGGGUAAAGAAGCACCGGCUAACUACGUG